ACGACCUGUGCGGGAGAGCCUCGAUCGGCACGCGAUCGGGCACCGAAGGAGCAAGCCUCCCCGCCAAUCUCUCAGGUACGCGUACCGCGCAGGCCGG
rnacentral:ncRNA from 2 species